AGCGCCUCUGAUUCUCAGCCAUUUUAUCUUCCAAUCUUAAAGUCGCAGUAAGUAUAUA
rnacentral:tRNA from 1 species